rnacentral:misc_RNA from 1 species
AACGCAUCUUGCGCUCCUUGGUAUUCCAUGGAGCAUGCCUGUUUGAGUGUCAUUAAGUUCUCAAUCCCAUGUCUUUUUGGAUAUAGGGUUGGAUAUGGGGGUUUUUAUUUUGCAGGCUUUUGAAAAGAAGUCUGCUCCCCUUAAAUGUAUUAGUGGCUACAAGCUACUGAAGGUGUGAUAAUUAUCUAUACCUUUUGUAGUGUUCUGUAUCAAGCUGCUUCUAAUGAAAUGAUAAUCUGAUAUAUUUGACCUCAAAUCAGGUAGGACUACCCGCUGAACUUAA